rnacentral:rRNA from 1 species
UACGGAGGGGGCAAGCGUUGUUCGGAAUUAUUGGGCGUAAAGCGUAUGUAGGCGGCCGAUCAAGUCAGACGUGUAAGCCCACGGCUCAACCGUGGAAUUGCGUUUGAUACUAGUCGGCUUGAGUUCGGGAGAGGAAAGCGGAAUUCCCAGUGUAGCGGUGAAAUGCAUUGAUAUUGGGAAGAACAUCUGUGGCGAAGGCGGCUUUCUGGCCCGAUACUGACGCUGAGAUACGAAAGCCAGGGGAGCGAACGGG